UCCCUGGUGGCCUAGUGGUUAGGACUCAGCACUUUCACUGCUGCAGUGCAGGUUUAAUCCCUGGUCUGGGAA
rnacentral:tRNA from 1 species